UGGCGGAGAAGCCACCUGCCCGAAGGCCUUUCCCUCGCCUACCCGGGGCGAAGGCGCAGAGAGCAGCAGCAGGAUGGGACGGGAGGAGCCCGCAGAAUGAGAAACACUGUCAGAGACUCGUAGGGCUGGAAAGCAACUUACUGGGAGCCCGGCAGGUAGACGGUUCCUGGUAGCGUGCGGUUCCCAGCAGUGAUGCGGCCGAAGGGGUGUGAGUCCAGACGUCAAAGCCCUUUUACACAGACGCGGGGAAGCUGCCAGGACUAAACCAAUCUGUGCCUGGCCUCCCAUUGGGACCAGCCACCCACCCUGAUGGAGAAAGCCACCUCAGCCACUCUGGAGAGCAAGGCGUGCACUAGUGAGCCAACAGCUCAGGAGGCUGUACGUCAAAGACUAAUGUCAUGCAGAAGGGGGUGCAGAACCAUGCCUAGCAUCCUGUCCAUGUCCUAGAUAUGAAGAGAUCCAGGAUUAUCUCCUGAAGCCAGAUCUUUCCCUGAGCACUUCCAAUUCCCAGAACCUGAGGCUUCGUCAGGUGACCUGGUCUACACACAGCCAGUGUGGUUAUGCCUGGAAUGGACUUUACCUGUUCUGUUUGAUUGGGGUUUCCAGGAUUUCAAGUCUAGGAAUAAAAUUCACAAAUCAAAUGGUCUCCCUGGCUGAUCCACAUCCAGGUUUUACCCUGAUCUUCCUAUCCUUCAGCCAGUCCCUAGGUCACCUGUGAAAUGAA